rnacentral:tRNA from 1 species
GACGCCCAGUGGUAGCGCAACAGGCGAGGAGCGACCGACCAGCCCAGCUGCUCGGUGAGGAUGCUGGUUCGAGUCCAGCCCACGUCG